UGGGGAAUAUUGGNCAAUGGGCGCAAGCCUGAUCCAGCCAUGCCGCGUGAGGUGAUGAAGGCCCUANGGUUGUAAAGCUCUUUUCUCGGGGAAGAUAAUGACGGUACCCGCAGNAAGAAGCCUCGGCUAACUCCGUG
rnacentral:rRNA from 1 species